UUCAACCAAAGUUUCAAGUUUAAGAGGGAAUUUCAAGUAUUUGAAUGACAAAGAUUCAAUUAAGCAAUCAAGUGGAAAACUAGCAUCCUAAUUCAUCCCAUAAUUUCCAACACAUUUCACGAAAGAAGUCACACUAGAGAGCCAGAAGGGUGAUACCGAUGAAACGAAGAUUGAUGGUGAGACUGGAUAAAAGCUUUGUUCGGGACCUGCCAA
rnacentral:lncRNA from 1 species